GGUCCCCUCUGUCUGCAAGCAACAUUCUUCUCCAGAUGAUCCAUGGAAGCCUCACCACUUCAGCAAGAUAGGCCAAAUCUGCCUGAUACUUCCUUCAAAGCCAAGGGUGGCUACCCUGCCAGGGCACGGGCCAGAGACUUGACCUUCUCCAGGAGUAGCCCCUCCAGUGACUGUCAGAGUUAGUGGACGAGUUCCUGAGCUCCUUUUUGCCUCCGGAGAAGCUGCUGAGGUCACCUUUCCUGGACUGGGCUGACAGCUAAGUGGAGAGCACUGAAGGCAGAGGCCCACUUGCUGAGUUCUGCUCAUAUGGGGCAACAAAAAUCAGAAGACACCAGAAGGAGCAGACAUCGUGUUGAAAGUCAUUUGUUAUUUACUUUGGGGAAGUCUCCAGAAAAUAUUUUGGAUUUGGAGUAUUUGUUUUUUCAUCAGAUUCAUCCUUAGCAACUGCUAAAAGCAUCCAACAGAUGACAAGAGAAUAAAAAAAAAAUCACUUAAGCUGCA
rnacentral:lncRNA from 1 species